AUUGAACGCUGGCGGCAUGCCUUACACAUGCAAGUCGAACGGCAGCGGACCUUCGGGUGCCGGCGAGUGGCGAACGGGUGAGUAAUAUAUCGGAACGUACCUUUCAGUGGGGAUAACGUAGCGAAAGUUACGCUAAUACCGCAUAUUCUGUGAGCAGGAAAGCAGGGGAUCGCAAGACCUUGCGCUGAUUGAGCGGCCGAUAUCAGAUUAGCUAGUUGGUGAGGUAAAGGCUCACCAAGGCGACGAUCUGUAGCGGGUCUGAGAGGAUGAUCCGCCACACUGGAACUGAGACACGGUCCAGACUCCUGCGGGAGGCAGCAGUGGGGAAUUUUGGACAAUGGGCGCAAGCCUGAUCCAGCCAUGCCGCGUGAGUGAAGAAGGCCUUCGGGUUGUAAAGCUCUUUCGGCCGGGAAGAAAUCGCACAGGUUAAUACCCUGUGUGGAUGACGGUACCGGAAUAAGAAGCACCGGCUAACUACGUG
rnacentral:rRNA from 1 species